rnacentral:lncRNA from 1 species
CGGCUCGUUUCAGAGAGUUCGAGUCGAUCGAGAAGGCAGUAAAGGGUUAUUAGCCAAAAUGAGAGGGAGCGGCCGGAUGCAUGUGAUGGUCAUCUUGUUCGUGGGAUCUCUUGCGCUCGCUGCAGAGUGUUAGUACUGUUUCUUCCCUUGUUUUCGUUUCUUCAAUUUUCAAAUAUAUAUACUAACAAUUAUAACACUACAUGCACGAUUCUAGGUCGUCUCGAGGCCGGAAGAAGGAGCUAUCUAGACGGCGGUGAUAACAACACAAGUACUUAGUAACACUGCUACUCUGACCAACUCGAUAUCAUCAUUAGAUGAUGCCAGGUUUAGCCUGAUAUAUUGCCGCCGGGGUCACUCUUGUGGUGACUGCUACUGCUGCCCUCUCCUGAAGCCCUUAGCGUGUUUCCAGACGCUGGAAGAGUGCAAGUCUAAAUGCCCUAGCUGCGAUCCCAAGUGCCCACCUGAAUCGUCAGUAGAAUUAUAUCCAUGAAAAAAUGUAUGACAGGUUCUGCUCCUUCGAAAAGUAAUAAUAAUUCGUGUUUCGAGA